rnacentral:rRNA from 1 species
AUACGGAGGGUGCGAGCGUUGUUCGGAAUUAUUGGGCGUAAAGAGCAUGUAGGCGGUCUGUUAAGUCUGGUGUGAAAGCCCGGGGCUCAACCCCGGAAGUGCAUUGGAUACUGGCAGACUUGAGUAUGGGAGAGGAAAGCGGAAUUCCGAGUGUAGGAGUGAAAUCCGUAGAUAUUCGGAGGAACACCAGUGGCGAAGGCGGCUUUCUGGACCAAUACUGACGCUGAGAUGCGAAAGCGUGGGGAGCAAACAGGAUUAGAAACCCCGGUAGUCC